UGGCGGACGGGUGAGUAAUGUCUGGGAAACUGCCCGAUGGAGGGGGAUAACUACUGGAAACGGUAGCUAAUACCGCAUAACGUCGCAAGACCAAAGAGGGGACCUUCGGGCCUCUUGUCAUCGGAUGUGCCCAGAUGGGAUUAGCUAGUAGGUGGGGUAACGGCUCACCUAGGCGACGAUCCCUAGCUGGUCUGAGAGGAUGACCAGCCACACUGGAACUGAGACACGGUCCAG
rnacentral:rRNA from 1 species